GAAACAAGCCACACUCAGAUUCCCGGGCGCAGCGCGACUGCUCAUCAUCCCCACGCAGCUACUUUCUCACACAUACGUGUCCACAUGCAGUGCCUUCAACAGUCCAAGGUGCACAUUCAGGAGUUUCUCUGAGCUGUGAGUGGGCCACAAAACUCCACAGCUGGGCUCCACCCCGAACCUGUGAACGCUACCUUCCCCCAGAAGGCAUUUAGCUUCAUCUCAGCUAAAUGAUUCAUUAACCUACAGUAGGAUUAUGAUAAUGCUUAAUUUUGAUGUGUUUUAGGAAUGAGACUCCGAUGGAAAAAGAACCAUGAAAAGAGGCUGCAUCAUACAACUGACGUCAAGAGCACGCAAUGCUGACUUGGCGUGGACCCGUUCCUCACAGGCCCGCUGGAAUUCGCCCGGAAGCUGUUUCACCCUCUGCCUGUGAGGGGUGGCUGUCCCAUUCCGCCCGUGGUCCCUGCUCUGUUCCAGUUUUCUGCCUCUGAGUCAACUUUGGUGGGGCGAUGCAGAGAGAGACACCUGCCGCGCUGUGUAAAGGUGAACAGUCCUGAUGUCUGCAGCUCACAUUAGGACGGCUUUGCACAAGGGAAGUAUGUGCGCGCGUGCGUGAGAGAACACACGUGUGUGCGAGAACACAUGUGUGUGCAGGCAAAAUGUACAAGUGUACAGGGCACACAUCUUAGCAUUCUUCAUAGCGUCUGUUUCUCAGAAUGAAAAUGUUACUAGUAAUUAAACACGGCAGCACCUCAGUAACGGGAGCAAAAUGAGCACGCUGACCGUGUCUCUGGCUAUAUGUCUGAACUCAGAUUGAUAUUUUUAUAGAAACAGAGUUUUUUCAAAUUCAGAUUACUACCAUUCCAAAGACAACGCCAACCCCGUUUUCAAAUUCG